rnacentral:rRNA from 1 species
UACGUAGGGGGCAAGCGUUAUCCGGAUUUACUGGGUGUAAAGGGAGCGUAGACGGCAGCGCAAGUCUGGAGUGAAAUCCCAUGGCUUAACCAUGGAACUGCCUUUGAAACUGUAGAGCUUGAGUGUCGGAGAGGGUGGCGGAAUUCCAGGUGUAGGAGUGAAAUCCGUAGAUAUCUGGAGGAACACCGGUGGCGAAGGCGGCCACCUGGACGACAACUGACGCUGAGGUGCGAAAGCGUGGGUAGCAAACAGG